GACGAACGCUGGCGGCGUGCUAACACAUGCAAGUCGAACGGAAAGGCCCUGCUUUUGUGGGGUGCUCGAGUGGCGAACGGGUGAGUAACACGUGAGUAACCUGCCCUUGACUUUUGUUUAACUUCAGGGAACUGUGGCUAAUACCGUAUAGGAGCUCCUGCUGCAUGGUGGGGGUUGGAAAGUUUCGGCGGUUGGGGUUGGACUCGCGGCUUCUCAGCUUGUUGGUGGGGUAGUGGCUUACCAAGGCUUUGACGGGUAGCCGGCCUGAGAGGGUGACCGGCCACAUUGGGACUGAGAUACGGCCCAGAGUACUACGGGAGGCAGCAGUGGGGAAGAUUGCAAAAUGGGCGGAAGCCUGAUGCAGAAACGCCGCGUGCGGGAUGACGGCCUUCGGGUUGUAAACCGCUUUCGCCUGUGACGAAGCGUGAGUGACGGUAAUGGGUAAAGAAGCACCGGCUAACUACGUG
rnacentral:rRNA from 1 species